GCCAGCGCGAGCGGGAAGGAGGCGCCCGUCGAAUUUUUACGUGCUAGCCUGCGAGACUUGAGGAGACUUCAGGCGUGGUCAUUCCUGAGCCCCACAGACCACGGCCUCUGCUCCAGUCGGUACUCCUGCCCCAGGGGGGCCAUGGGCCGUAUCUCGGGGCUCGUGCCCUCUCGCUUCCUGACGCUCCUGGCGCAUCUGGUGGUCGUCAUCACCUUGUUCUGGUCGCGGGACAGCAACAUCCACGCCUGCCUGCCUCUCACGUUCACCCCCGAGGAGUACGAGAAGCAGGACAUUCAGCUCGUGGCAGCGCUGUCCGUCACUCUGGGCCUCUUUGCAGUGGAGCUGGCCGGUUUCUUCUCAGGGGUUUCCAUGUUCAACAGCACCCAGAGCCUCAUCUCCAUUGGGGCUCAUUGUAGUGCAUCUGUGGCCCUGUCCUUUUUCAUAUUCGAGCGUUGGGAGUGUACCACGUACUGGUACAUUUUCGUCUUCUGCAGUGCCCUCCCAGCUGUCACUGAAAUGGCAUUGUUCAUCAGCGUCUUUGGACUGAAAAAGAAACCUUUCUGAGACCUUCGUGACGGGAACAUAGGGAUGAUGGUUCGAGGAACACGGGACCACUCACCAUUCCUGGACCGAGGAAGGCAGUCUCCAGCCCUCAAAUUGCAUUUGAUGGAGGAUGUCAGUGUAAGGGAGUUUAUUUUAUUCAUUUUUUUUCAGUGUGGUUUACACACAAUGUUACACUAGUUUCAGGUUCCUGAUUAUUUUCUACAUGUUACUAUUAUGUGCUCUUGAGGUUAUUUACAUCUGUAUCUGUAUCGUGGGAGUGCUAUAUGAUGAUGUGCUCCUACUGUGUAUCUCUUCCCAGCUCAUGUGGAGACAUCAAGUUGGUAUUUUGAAACUGGCUCCGGCAGGAGUAUUUACUCCACAGAGAUUGGCAACUGCAGCAUAUGGGGCUUUGCUGAUUACCUAGAUUUAAGAAAAUGUUGGGGGCGCCUGGGUGGCUCAGUCGGUUAAGCGUCGAACUUCAGCUCAGGUCAUGAUCUCUCGCUUCGCGGGUUGGAGACCCGCUUUGGGCUCUGCUGACAGCUCGGAGCUCGGAGCCUGCUUUGGAUUCUGUGUCUCCCCCUCUCUCUACUCCUCCCCCGUUCCUGCUCUGUCUCUCAAAAAUAAAUAAACGUUAAAUUUUUAAAAAAAAUUUAAAAAAAGAUGACGGAGACAAUGUUAAUAAUGCAGGUUACACAUAAAACUGCCAUGUCUGUAACUGUUACAUUGCAAAUAGCACCGAAAAUAGAGGAAAUAUUCUCCCAGAAUUUGAAAACUGUUAACAGAUUCAGUGAAGAGGUCAGUCCAGUCCCUGAGGAACCAGUGAAAGUGCAACAUAUCUUCACUGCUUCAUUUUGUGUCAUUCCAAAAUGUGAAUACAAAUAUCGACCAACAUUCAUUUUGGAAUUACACUGGUAGGGUAUAAUUCCACUUAGGAAGUCAUGGAUACAAGAGUGGAAUUUACAGUAAAGAAUAUUGUAUAUUUCAUUAUUAUUUGUAAAUUCUGUUGCACAUCCUUUGUGUCAGUAAGAUUGAUAAUAAACUUAUGUACAUGUAUAAAUACGUACUGCUUUUGGAGAGUUGGCUGUUAAAUAUUUAUCAGCGAUUCCCACCCCUCUCAUCCCAAAAAACUGCCCAUCGCGGAUCCCUGUUUCUAAAUCCAGAGGGCACUCCUCAGCCUUCGGCUUGGCCGCUUUUCGCCACAUAAUAUGUUGACCACUACUCUUUUGAAAGGUUUUCUUUCUUGGCCUCUGAAAAAUAGUUCUCUUGGUUUACCUCCCACUAUUCUGGCUGCUUCUUCUCAGGCUCAUCUAAUUUUUUUUUUUUUUAAUUUAUUUUUGAGAGAGAGACAGACAGUGCGAGCAGGGGAGGGGCAGAGAGAGAGGGAGACAGAAUCGGAAGCAGGUUCCAGGCUCUGAGCUGUCAGCGCAGAGCCCGCCGUGGGGCUCGAACUCACAGACUGUGAGAUCGUGACCUGAGCCGAAGUCGGACGCUUAACGGACUGAGCCCCCCCCCCCCCCGCCGAGGCACCCCUCAGGCUCAUCUAAUAUUGAUUGUGUGCCUACAACGGGUCAGUCACGGGGGAGAUGCCACUGGGUCACUUCCCCCAGUUGCCCUUAUGUGUUGCUGAUCAUUGCUCCUUGGAUACCUGUAGCUGCCUCGUCUUCAGACACCAUGUAGAUGCUGCUGUUUUCCAAGUGUUGGCUCUCUUAUGUGAGCCCCAGUCCAGGGCAAAGACUGUGGGAACGAGCCGUGGGGUCAGUCCGGGUUCAAAGUGCAUCCGGCCUCCUUCGUGGCUGUGUGAUUGGCAACGGGUCACUUAACCUCUCUGUGCCUCGGUUCCUUCACCCACACUCCAGAAACAGGUACUGCAAGCACUUUAACCAUCUGUCUCUUAGUCAACACCAGAGGCUUUGCCAAUUAGCAUCCGCAAUAGGUUUUUCAUUUUAUUGUGUAAUCAGUGGCUUGUCAAUCAGGAUAAGCCAGUCCCACAAGACGAAUACUGCUUGAUUCUGCUUACACGAGGUACCAAGGGUAGUCAGACACAUAGAGACUUAAAGUAGAACGGGGGGUUCCAGGGGCUGAACAAAAGGGGGUGAGCUGUUCGGCGGUAGAGAGUUUGUUUUGCAAGAUGAAAAAUUGGAGUUCCGGAGAUCGGUUGUAGAACAAUAUAAAUGUACUAACACUACUGAAUUGUGCACUUUGAAAAUGAGCAAAGGCGGAAGGGUGUCUGGGGUGCUCAGUGGGUUACGCCUCCGACUCCUGCUUUCGGCUCAGGUCGUGGUCUCACAGAUUGGUUCGUGGGAUCGAGUCUUGCAUAGGGGUCUGGGCUGACGGUGUGGAGCCUGCUUGGGAUUCUCUCCGCUGCUCUCCUGCUCGCUUGCACACACACACUCUCUCUCUAAAUAAGUUAAUUAAUCAAACCUUCAAAAAUGUUUACUAAAACAAAACUUGACAUUUUAAACCUUUUUUCUUGACUAAUUUUAGACCUACAGAAAAGUUGCAAAAUAAUACAGAUUUCCUGUAUGCCCUUCACCCAGGUCCUCCAAAUGUUAACAUCUUGCAAAGUCAGGUCACGAUCAUGGAAACCAGAAGGUUAGUGCUGAUGCCGAACUAUUACCUGAUCUACAGAUCUUACUUGAAUUUUACUAGCUUUCUCCCUAAUGCCCUUUUUCCAAUUCAGGCUCUAAUCCAGGAUUUCACAUCGCAUUUAGUUGUCAUUCUCAGGCUUUUCCAACCACUUUUUUUUUUCUCCUUCCUUUCACUAUCUUGACACAUUUGGAAAGUCCUGGUGAGUGGUUGUGUAGAAUGUCCCUCCAUCUGGAUUUGUCUGGUGUUUCUCAUAAUUAGAUGGGGGGGUAUGCAUUGGAGUGAGGGAGAGGCCUGGGUGGCUCAGUCGGCUAAGUGUCUGAUUCUUUUUAUUUAAAAAAAAUUUUUUUUAUAUUUAUUUAUUUUUGAGAGACAGAGUGAGACAAAGUGAGACUGGGGGAGGGGCAGAGAGAGAGGGAGACACAGGAUUGGAAACAGGCUCCAGGCUCUGAGCUGUCAGCACAGAGCCUGACGCGGGGCUCAAACCCACAGACUGUGAGAUCAUGACCUGAGCCAAAGUCGGACGCUCAACUGACUGAGCCACCCAGGCGCCCCUCUUUUUAUUUUUGAGAGAGACAGAGAGAUAGAGCGUGAGCUGGUUAGGGGCAGAGACAGAGGGAGACACAGAAUCUGAGGCAGGCUCCAGGCUCUUGAGCUGUCAGCACAGAGCCACAGUUCGAUAUGGGGCUCGAACUCACGAAAUGUGAGAUCGUGACCUGAGCCGAAGUUGGACACUUAACCGACUGAGCCACCCAGGCCCCAAGUGUCUGGUUCUUGAUUUCGGCUCAGGUCAUGAUCUUAUGGUUCGUGAGAUUGCGACCCCCGAGAUCUUGGGAUUCUCUCUCUCUGCCCCACCUCUGCCGUACUCUCUCUCUCUCAAAAAUAAAUCAACUUAAAAAAAAAUAGUUUGGAGUGAGGAGGACAUUUCUGAGUAUGAAAACAAAACACAGAAGUCCUAAAAGAAAACCCAUAACUAACUAGAAUUUAAAUAACAUUUUGAAAAAAAGAAAAAGAAAAGAAAACCCCGAUACAUUUUAUGUAUUAAAAAUGUAAAAAGUAUGCAUGGUAAAAAACCAUAAGCAAAAGAUAAAUGACAAUCUAAGGAAAAUGUAAUUCACAUUGCAGAGAAAGGGCUCAUUUUGAUACAUAAAAAUCUACAAGUCUAUAAGCAAUACACCAACAACCCAAUAAAAAAAGGCACAGUAAGGGGCACCUGGGUGGCUCAGUUGGUUAAGUGUCCAACUUUGGACCAGGUCAUGAUCUCACAGUUUGUGGGUUUAAGCCCCGUGUCAGGCUCUGUGCUGACAGCUUGCUCAGAGCCUGGAGCCUGCUCCAGAUUCUGUCUCCCUUUCUCUCUGGCCCUUCCCUGCUCAUACUCUUGUCUCUGUCUCUC